UACGUAGGGGGCAAGCGUUGUCCGGAUUUAUUGGGCGUAAAGAGCGUGUAGGCGGCCAGACAGGUCCGUUGUGAAAACUCGAGGCUCAACCUCGAGACGCCGAUGGAAACCGUCUGGCUAGAGUCCGGAAGAGGAGAGUGGAAUUCCUGGUGUAGCGGUGAAAUGCGCGGAUAUCAGGAAGAACACCCGUGGCUAAGGCGGCUCUCUAGUACGGUACUGACGCUGAGACGCGAAAGCGUGGGGAGCGAACAGG
rnacentral:rRNA from 1 species